rnacentral:lncRNA from 1 species
CUUAUUGCAGUGUUGAGCCAAAGCAUUCCAGACUUGAUAGGAGGUGGCACAGUUGACAACUUCCCGCAUGAUAUCUUCAUUCAGAGAUCCCAACAGCCAAGCUCGGACUACUUGGUCAGAUCUGUUCCAAGUAUGAUACUCUGGAUUUGGUACCUCAGUAGUAAGACCAUCAAUGUUGUUGAAUGGAGUUGUUGCAGGAGGAGGUUUUAGUGACCCAUUGACAAAGCCUAGAAGGUUUUGGCCUGGCAGAAAAGACUCAAACUAUGUCUUCCAAAGAGAAUAGUUUUGCUCAUUGAGCUUAACCGUGACACACUUUGAGAUGUGAAGAACAUGAGCAGAAUAGAGUUGGAUAGAUUGAUCCAUCAUAGACCGCUGUGCUCUGAUACCAUGAAAGUAAGAGCAAGACGGCUACUUUAGGUAAUGUUUUGAGUGAACUUUGCUUUGUAUUAUUUCACUUGGUCUUUAGGUUACAACAUUAGUUCCCUUUUAUAGCUAGACAAUACUAGGGUUUCAAUGAUUGUAAACUGACAGCUGUCUCUAUCUUAUCAAGCUUCGCAGGUCACCAAACAACCAAAUCUGUUCUUUCUGUUGAUUGGCUCCAUACAGACGCUCCUCUUCUCUGUCUUCACUCUGGUUUUGUUUUCUUGCACAGGUGGUGGUCUUGUCUGUUGAGAAGAGGAAGAAGACUUGUUGGGCUUCGCUGUUGUGUUGGUUGUGUUGUCAUUGGGCCUGUUUGGUGAGUGGCCCAAUAACCCUUUUCCUUUGUUAAGCUGAGCGACGUCGUUCUCUUUCUUUGACUCUUCAGCUGAACUUGAGCUCUGAUUCGAUCUCAUUUCAGAUAUUGGAGCUGUUGAUGGCGGAGCAGUGAAACUCUUGCUAAUAAAGGGUCUUUCCACCAUUACAAUAUAUUAUGUAAAAAUAAAAAUAGUAUUUUAUUAUUUGUGUGUCUUUAAAUUUGAGACACAAAGUCUUCAAUGUCUUAGUAAAAACAUUUUUAAGAAUAAUGUCUUUAAUUUAAU